AGUCGUACAGGUCUCCGUAGGUGAACCUGCGGAGGGAUCAUUACACAAAUAUGAAGGCGGGCUGGAACCUCUCGGGGUUACAGCCUUGCUGAAUUAUUCACCCUUGUCUUUUGCGUACUUCUUGUUUCCUUGGUGGGUUCGCCCACCACUAGGACAAACAUAAACUUUUUGUAAUUGCAAUCAGCGUCAGUAACAAAUUAAUAAUUACAACUUUCAACAACGGAUCUCUUGGUUCUGGCAUCGAUGAAGAACGCAGCGAAAUGCGAUAAGUAGUGUGAAUUGCAGAAUUCAGUGAAUCAUCGAAUCUUUGAACGCACAUUGCGCCCUUUGGUAUUCCAAAGGGCAUGCCUGUUCGAGCGUCAUUUGUACCCUCAAGCUUUGCUUGGUGUUGGGCGUCUUGUCUCUAGCUUUGCUGGAGACUCGCCUUAAAGUAAUUGGCAGGCGGCCUACUGGUUUCGGAGCGCAGCACAAGUCGCACUCUCUAUCAGCAAAGGUCUAGCAUCCAUUAAGCCUUUUUUUCAACUUUUGACCUCGGAUCAGGUAGGGAUACCCGCUGAACUUAAGCA
rnacentral:rRNA from 1 species